AAAAAAAAAAAAAAAAAAAAACAAGUUAUUUUUGAUUUCCCAGAUAUUUUCGGCAAAAAUAUACGCACUUGUAGCGUCAUGACACUCACAGAACAGAACGAUAGAACGAAUGUAUAUUGG
rnacentral:ribozyme from 1 species